rnacentral:snoRNA from 1 species
ACUUUGUGGUUGGGACAUUGCAUGAGCUUCCCAUUAAAUCUCUCGCAUACCUCAUAUAGAGGUCCUCCAUUCAAUUGAUGAAAAUUAGUUAUUUCGUCACGCAAUU